AAUACUUCAGUAGUUAAAAUGGCUUCGAUUUUUUUUCAUUCAAAUACUAUUUUUUCUUACUAGGUACUUGAGUGACAUGAGUCUCUUAAUCAUUUGAAAGUUAAAGCCUCAUCAACCAGCCCUACAGAAUAAAGAAUAUGAAGCAUCCCAUGCUGCACUGCAUAUUCAAGGUGUCAUCUCCCAAGAGUUUUCUCCAACAAACCCUCCAGAGGCAAUGCCCAGUCUUAAGAGUAUGUUUCCAGGGAAACCAAUCUAAGGCACUGUACAAAACAGUGUGAGAGUGAUAAAAGCAGCA
rnacentral:lncRNA from 1 species